GGGGAUGUAAAGGUUUCGACGGGGAUUUUGAAGUACAGUAAGCGGGUAGAGACGCCUGAUCUCUUAAAAAUUGGCAAAUUAAAAUUAAACGCUAAUAACACUGAAUUAGCUGCUGCCUAAGUGCAGCGUGUCCGGCGAUUGAGUACUGCGGCUUUCGCAUGGGCAUCAUUCAGCAGUGAACGUGAGCAGCAGUUUCGCUCUUGAAGCUGCCACGCAUUAAAGGGCUACCGAGCCGCUGAGCCUGCCGUCCGGCGCUCCGGCUGGGGAAUUUCAAACGAACGGAUGCACCCGGAGAAAGCUGUAUGAAUGGAUUUUCGGACAGGGGUUCGAUUCCCCUCAUCUCCACCA
rnacentral:tmRNA from 1 species